rnacentral:rRNA from 1 species
AGCGUACACGGUGGAUGCCUAGGCAGUCAGAGGCGAUGAAGGGCGUGCUAAUCUGCGAAAAGCGUCGGUAAGGUGAUAUGAACCGUUAUAACCGGCGAUACCCGAAUGGGGAAACCCAGUGUGUUUCGACACACUAUCAUGUCAUGAAUACAUAGUGGCAUGAGGCGAACCGGGGGAACUGAAACAUCUAAGUACCCCGAGGAAAAGAAAUCAACCGAGAUUCCCCCAGUAGCGGCGAGCGAACGGGGAGGAGCCCAGAACCUGAAUCGGCUUGUGUGUUAGUGGAAGCGUCUGGAAAGUCGCGCAGCAAAGGGUGAUAGCCCCGUACACUAAAAUGCACAGGUCGUGAGUUCGAUGAGUAGGGCGGGACACGUGACAUCCUGUCUGAAUAUGGGGGGACCAUCCUCCAAGGCUAAAUACUCCUGACUGACCGAUAGUGAACCAGUACCGUGAGGGAAAGGCGAAAAGAACCCCGGCGAGGGGAGUGAAAUAGAACCUGAAACCGUGUACGUACAAGCAGUGGGAGCACCUUCGUGGUGUGACUGCGUACCUUUUGUAUAAUGGGUCAGCGACUUAUAUUUUGUAGCAAGGUUAACCGUAUAGGGGAGCCGUAGGGAAACCGAGUCUUAACUGGGCGAAUAGUUGCAAGGUAUAGACCCGAAACCCGGUGAUCUAGCCAUGGGCAGGUUGAAGGUUGGGUAACACUAACUGGAGGACCGAACCGACUAAUGUUGAAAAAUUAGCGGAUGACUUGUGGCUGGGGGUGAAAGGCCAAUCAAACCGGGAGAUAGCUGGUUCUCCCCGAAAGCUAUUUAGGUAGCGCCUCGUGAACUCAUCUUCGGGGGUAGAGCACUGUUUCGGCUAGGGGGCCAUCCCGGCUUACCAAACCGAUGCAAACUCCGAAUACCGAAGAAUGUUAUCACGGGAGACACACGGCGGGUGCUAACGUCCGUCGUGAAGAGGGAAACAACCCAGACCGCCAGCUAAGGUCCCAAAGUCAUGGUUAAGUGGGAAACGAUGUGGGAAGGCAUAGACAGCCAGGAUGUUGGCUUAGAAGCAGCCAUCAUUUAAAGAAAGCGUAAUAGCUCACUGGUCGAGUCGGCCUGCGCGGAAGAUGUAACGGGGCUAAACCAUGCACCGAAGCUGCGGCAGCGACGCUUAGGCGUUGUUGGGUAGGGGAGCGUUCUGUAAGCCGUUGAAGGUGGCCUGUGAGGGUUGCUGGAGGUAUCAGAAGUGCGAAUGCUGACAUAAGUAACGAUAAAGCGGGUGAAAAGCCCGCUCGCCGGAAGACCAAGGGUUCCUGUCCAACGUUAAUCGGGGCAGGGUGAGUCGACCCCUAAGGCGAGGCUGAAAAGCGUAGUCGAUGGGAAACAGGUUAAUAUUCCUGUACUUGGUGUUACUGCGAAGGGGGGACGGAGAAGGCUAGGCUAGCCGGGCGACGGUUGUCCCGGUUUAAGCGUGUAGGGGGUGUGACCUGGUAAAUCCGGUUGCAUAUUAACCCUGAGGCGUGAUGACGAUGCACUACGGUGCAGAAGUAGUUGAUGCCCUGCUUCCAGGAAAAUCCUCUAAGCUCCAGGUAACAUUAAAUCGUACCCCAAACCGACACAGGUGGUCAGGUAGAGAAUACCAAGGCGCUUGAGAGAACUCGGGUGAAGGAACUAGGCAAAAUGGUGCCGUAACUUCGGGAGAAGGCACGCUGGCAUGUAGGUGAAGUCCCUUGCGGAUGGAGCUGAAGCCAGUCGAAGAUACCAGCUGGCUGCAACUGUUUAAUAAAAACACAGCACUGUGCAAACACGAAAGUGGACGUAUACGGUGUGACGCCUGCCCGGUGCUGGAAGGUUAAUUGAUGGGGUCAGCCGCAAGGCGAAGCUCUUGAUCGAAGCCCCAGUAAACGGCGGCCGUAACUAUAACGGUCCUAAGGUAGCGAAAUUCCUUGUCGGGUAAGUUCCGACCUGCACGAAUGGCGUAAUGAUGGCCAGGCUGUCUCCACCCGAGACUCAGUGAAAUUGAACUCGCUGUGAAGAUGCAGUGUACCCGCGGCAAGACGGAAAGACCCCGUGAACCUUUACUAUAGCUUGACACUGAACAUUGAGCCUUGAUGUGUAGGAUAGGUGGGAGGCUUUGAAGCGUGGACGCCAGUCUGCGUGGAGCCAUCCUUGAAAUACCACCCUUUAAUGUUUGAUGUUCUAACUCGGCCCCAUAAUCUGGGGUGAGGACAGUGUCUGGUGGGUAGUUUGACUGGGGCGGUCUCCUCCCAAAGAGUAACGGAGGAGCACGAAGGUUAGCUAAUCACGGUCGGACAUCGUGAGGUUAGUGCAAAGGCAUAAGCUAGCUUGACUGCGAGAGUGACGGCUCGAGCAGGUACGAAAGUAGGUCUUAGUGAUCCGGUGGUUCUGAAUGGAAGGGCCAUCGCUCAACGGAUAAAAGGUACUCCGGGGAUAACAGGCUGAUACCGCCCAAGAGUUCAUAUCGACGGCGGUGUUUGGCACCUCGAUGUCGGCUCAUCACAUCCUGGGGCUGAAGUAGGUCCCAAGGGUAUGGCUGUUCGCCAUUUAAAGUGGUACGCGAGCUGGGUUUAGAACGUCGUGAGACAGUUCGGUCCCUAUCUGCCGUGGGCGUUGGAAGAUUGAGAGGGGUUGCUCCUAGUACGAGAGGACCGGAGUGAACGCACCACUGGUGUUCGGGUUGUCAUGCCAAUGGCAUUGCCCGGUAGCUAAGUGCGGAAAAGAUAAGCGCUGAAAGCAUCUAAGCGCGAAACUUGCCUCAAGAUGAGUCUUCCCUGGGCCUUUAAGGCCCCUGAAGGAACGUUUAAGACUAAGACGUUGA